UGGAGGCAGCAGUGGGGAAUAUUGGACAAUGGGGGCAACCCUGAUCCAGCAAUGCCGCGUGAGUGAUGAAGGCCUUAGGGUUGUAAAGCUCUUUCGGCGGGGACGAUGAUGACGGUACCCGCAGAAGAAGCCCCGGCUAACUUCGUGCCAGCAGCCGCGGUAAUACGAAGGGGGCGAGCGUUGUUCGGAAUUACUGGGCGUAAAGGGCGCGCAGGCGGCUCUGAAAGUCAGAUGUGAAAGCCCCGGGCUUAACCUGGGAAUUGCAUUUGAUACUCUGGAGCUUGAGUACGGGAGAGGAGAGUGGAAUUCCCAGUGUAGAGGUGAAAUUCGUAGAUAUUGGGAAGAACACCGGUGGCGAAGGCGGCUCUCUGGACCGUAACUGACGCUGAGGCGCGAAAGCGUGGGGAGCAAACAGGAUUAGAUACCCCGGU
rnacentral:rRNA from 1 species